rnacentral:RNase_P_RNA from 1 species
GCAGUGCUCCGGUCUGUCGCUGGCAUCUUUCAGGUGCGAGAGGAAAGUCCGGGCAGCAUAGAGCAUCCCACUUCCGAAACUAGAAGCUAUUGGUGACAGUAGGUGUCGGUAGAAGAAAAUAACCGCUCCCCCCGCUUUCCCAUGGUGGGGGUGAUAGUAAGGGUGAGAAGGUGGUGUAAGAGACCACCAGCUGGCGGGUGAUCGCCAGGCUGUACCAUCUGGGAGCUGUAAGCUCAUGUAUACCGCAGAUUGAGGGCGGCUCGUCCGAUUGCCUUAGGGCUGCUGCGGAGGGUAGAGUGCUUGAGCCCAAGGGUGACUUUGGGACUAGAUAAAUGACAGACGUUCCUAUAGCCGAUAUAGGAACACAGAACUCGGCUUACAGGGGCACUGCUUUU